rnacentral:rRNA from 1 species
UACGUAGGGUCCGAGCGUUGUCCGGAAUCAUUGGGCGUAAAGAGCGUGUAGGCGGCCACUUAAGUCCUGCGUGAAAUCCUGCGGCUCAACCGCAGGCGGUCGUGGGAAACUGGGUGGCUAGAGUGCGGUAGAGGAUGGCGGAAUUCCCGGUGUAGCAGUGAAAUGCGUAGAGAUCGGGAGGAACAUCUGUGGCGAAGGCGGCCAUCUGGACCAGCACUGACACUGAGGCACGAAAGCGUGGGGAGCAAACAGG